AGCAGCCGCGGUAAUUCCAGCUCCAAUAGCGUAUAUUAAAGUUGUUGCAGUUAAAAAGCUCGUAGUUGAACUUCAGGCCUGUCCAGAUGGUCCGCCUUAAUUGGUGUGUACUGUCCUUGGGUGGGUCCUACCUUCUGGCGAAGCGGCAUGGCCUUAGUUGGUUGUGUUGGGGAACCAGGACUUUUUACUGUGAAAAAAUUAGAGUGUUCAAAGCAGGCAUAAUAUGCUCGAAUACAUUAGCAUGGAAUAGUGGAAUAGGACGAUGGUUCUAUUUUGUUGGUUCUAGGACCGUUGUAAUGAUUAAUAGGGAUAGUUGGGGGCAUUAGUAUUCAAUUGUCAGAGGUGAAAUUCUUGGAUUUAUUGAAGACUAACUACUGCGAAAGCAUUUGCCAAGGAUGUUUUCAUUAAUCAAGAACGAAAGUUAGGGGAUCGAAGACGAUCAGAUACCGU
rnacentral:rRNA from 1 species